rnacentral:rRNA from 1 species
UACGGGGGGAGCAAGCGUUGUUCGGAUUUACUGGGCGUAAAGGGCGCGUAGGCGGCGUGACAAGUCACUUGUGAAAUCUCCGGGCUUAACUCGGAGCGGCCAAGUGAUACUGUCGUGCUAGAGUGCGGAAGGGGCUACUGGAAUUCUCGGUGUAGCGGUGAAAUGCGUAGAUAUCGAGAGGAACACCUGCGGCGAAGGCGGGUAGCUGGGCCGACACUGACGCUGGAGGCGCGAAGGCGUGGGGAGCGAACGGG